rnacentral:rRNA from 1 species
AGCGAACGCUGGCGGCAGGCCUAACACAUGCAAGUCGAGCGGACGUAGCAAUACGUCAGCGGCAGACGGGAGAGUAACACGUGGGAACGCGCCCUUCGGUUCGGGAUAACUCAGGGAAACUUGGGCUAAUACCGGAUACGCCCUUACGGGGAAAGAUUUAUUGCCGAAGGAACGGCCCGCGUCCGAUUAGCUUGUUGGUGAGGUAACGGCUCACCAAGGCGACGAUCGGUAGCUGGUCUGAGAGGAUGACCAGCCUCACUGGGACUGAGACACGGCCCAGACUCCAGCGGGGGGCAGGAGUGGGGAAUAUUGGACAAGGGGCGCAAGCCUGUCCCAGCCAUGCCGCGGGGGUGUUGAAGGCCCUAGGGUUGUAAAGCCCUUUCGGCGGGGAAGAUAAUGACGGUACCCGCAGAAGAAGCCCCGGCUAACUUCGUGCCAGCAGCCGCCGUAA